GUAUAAUGUCUUUUUGUAACAUAUGUGUAAGCAUGUACAUAUGCCUAUUUCUAAAAAAAAAAAAAAAAAUAUAUUAAUUUUGUUUUUUUAUUUUUUUCUUGUAGGUUACUCAAGAUAAUGAAACUUUAUACAAGUCGUUUCUUAGGUUAUCAUCCCAUGAUAAAAUGAAAAGGUAGGAAAAAAAAAAAAAAAAAAAAAAAAAAAAAAAUAGUUUAUGUGUUAGAGUGUCUACAAGCACAUGCUUAAUUAUGCUGUGUGUAUAUAUAUUUGUAUUGACAUGUGCUCUAACUUUUGAUUCCUUUCCUUUUUUCAGACACAACAUGAAACGAUUAAUAGGUAUAAUUCUGCGUAGGGUCCAAUUGUACAGCAAAAUAAAAACAUUUAAAAACAGCAUUAUGCACAUAAUCACAAACAGAAAGUUGUAUGGCAAAACGUUAUUUAACAAGAAUGUGAUUUAUAAACUAAUAUACGAGCUAAAAAAUAUUCAUAGAGAAUUAUUUGUACAUUCGUGUAAUUAUACAAGUAAAAAUAGUUGUUAUGACUUUUUUUACGAGAAUGAAAUAUUUUUGAAUGAUAGUAAAAAUAAAAGGGAUUGUUAUUAUAUACAUAAGUUACAUAAUUAUAUUAUCUUUUAUUUACAAUCAAAUCAAUUUUUUAUUUUGUUUCUUUAUAUUUUGAAGGAAUUUGAAGGACACAUUAACAGCUCUUUAUUUUUAAAUUCUUAUGAUAUUUGUUUUAUAACGGCUGUUAACGAUUUUAUUUAUUUUUUUCUGAACUGUUUAGGUGGGAUAAAUAUAUUAGCACAAUAUGAUAUAUCUUUAUAUGAAAAUACAUAUAAAAAUAUUUGUCUAAUUAUAAAUAAAAAAAUAAAAGAGUUAGGUACUAAUAUAAAUGACCUAACGAGCGAUGGUGUUAACAAAACUGGGAUAACUGAUCAUAUUUCGGUGGAUAUGAAUAAUGAUAAUGACAUUAAUGACGAUGAUGACGAUGGUGACGAUGGUGAUGAUAAUGACGAUAAUGACGAUAAUGAUUAUGAUAAUGAACAGUGCAUAAAAAAAAUUAAAAUUAAUGACGAAACUUGUAGCCAAUAUAGCGAUCCCUACGAUUACAACGUUAUGAAUGAGAGAGUAGAUUUUCCCACAUCUAAUAAUAUAAAAAAUAACAUCGAUUUUAAUGAUAAUUGCAUGGACAUUUGUGACAUCGACGUAGUAGAUGUCGGAACAGAUGAAGUAACAGAAAGUACUAUCAAUAAUAAUAAUAAUAAUAAUAAUAAUAAUAAUGAUAGUGAUAACAAUAUAAACAGCGGAGAAUGUGUUGAAGAAAGUAACAACACAUCAAAUGGUAACAUUAACUUCGAAUCUAACAAUGUAUUUUUAGAUAAUCAAAGUAUAAAAGAAGAAAAGGAAUUUAUAAAUAAUAUAGAACCUAUAAAUGGUGAAUUUUUAUAUAAUGAAAAAAACUUUUUUUAUGAUAAUACAAAAUGUAUUUAUACUUAUAAUGAUAUUAUUAGAAAUAAAGACACACCAGAACUUAUAUAUCUAAAUGGAUAUAAUUAUAAAGACAUGAAAAAUACACGUAAUUAUUGUGCUUAUAUAUUAACAUCAAUAAAAAUGUUUUUUAAAACUGACACUUUAAUUAAUCAGUUUUUUAUACAAGGAAAACAAAUUUCAUUAACAUAUUUGAAACUUUUUUUUUUUUUGUGUUCUUUUCCAUUGUCAAAGCUAGCUCUAUAUAAUAACGUCAAUUUUUUUAAUUUUUUUUUACACAUUAUUUAUUUAUUUUAUUAUUUUAUUUAUUUGGAGGGAGAGUAUGAGCGUAAGGGGUCCGUUAACCUAGGUGGUGCCAACAAUUCGAUCGUAAAAAACAUAGAUGGAAAUCCAAAGUUAAAAAAUAAAAUAAACGACAGUUUGGACAUUACAAAAGAAGUAACAAGUAACACUUUUAAUGACGUAGAUGGAUAUAUAGGUAACGAUAGUCACAUGAGUGACGACGCGAAUGUUAACCCUGAAAACCACAACAUCAGUAGCAACAACAACGGCAUUAGCAACAACAACAUCAGUAGCAACAACAACGGCAUUAGCAACAACAACGGCAGUAGCAACAACAACGGCAGUAGCAACAACAACAGUAGCAACAACAACAACAACAGUAGCAACAACAGUAGCAACAACAACAACAACAACAACAACAGUAGCAACAACAACCAAACGGAUGAUGACAAUCCCAAUGAGUAUAUCCUAGUAACUAUUAGAUACUUAAUGAAUAUCAUUUAUAAUUUAAUUUUUUAUGACGACUCGGGACAUUUCGUUUUUCACUUUGGCUACUCCAUAUUUGUUUGUCUCGAAGAAAUCAAAAACAUAACAGGAGAAAUAAAAAAAAAUAAAGAUUUAUCAUUUGGUACACUUAACUAUAAUAAAAAGUUUCUCAGGAUUACAUUAAACAAUUAUAUUAGUAAUGACAAACUGUUAUACAAACAGUAUUUUUAUUUAUAUCAAAAUUUGAAAAAUAUACAUGCAGAUCUGUAUAAAUACGAAAAGAAAAAAUACAACGAAAUGGUUAUGUCAAAAAAUAAAUUAAAUAAAAAUAAUAAAAUGUUUCAAAAGGGUGUAGCCAGUUUGUUAGUAACAGAUGGACAAACUGAACUUAGUAAAAGCGUCGAAAAAAAAGAAAAAAAAAAUAUAUCUAAAGACAGCACAUAUCCAUAUAACAUAAAUUUAAUACCCCUGAAAUCAUCAUACACACCUAGUAUAAACAAACUAAUUCAAUGCUGUAGUGUCGAAAAGGACAAAUAUCUUUUAAAAAAAUCAAAAGAGUUAAAUAAUUAUAAUUGUAAAUUAAAUAAUGAUAUAUAUAUAAAAAACGCAUCAAAAAAUUGUACCUAUUUAGGUACUAACAUAAACGAUCAGUUUGUUGAAUUGUUGGAAGAACUAGAUGAUAACACAACUACUAAUAAUAAUAAUAAUAAUCCAAAUUUAAAUAGCCUUACUAGAAAAUUGGACACCUAUCCUAUUUUAGCAUUAAAGUUAUUAUAUUAUUACAUGAAUUUAUGUCCAAACAUAAGUUAUUUUAGUAAUAUAUAUGAUGUUGAUAAGAACGAAGAAGCAGAGAAAGAUGAGUCAGAAGAAACUGACAAAACAAAUGACACAAGCAUGUCAGACGAGACCACGGCCGAUCAUAUUUCAGAGGUUGCUAAUGGUGAUAGUAUUUAUAACAGUACUAGCGAUAGUAGUAAUGAAUGUAGUAGUGGAAGUAAUAGUGGAAGUAAUAGUAGAAGUAAUUGCGGAAGUAAUAGCAGAAGUAAUAGCGGAAGUAAUAGCGGAAGUAAUAGCGUUAGUCCCAGUAUUAAUGUUAAAAAACACGUUAAACGGAAACGCUGUAAUAAAUAUGAUAGAAAAAUUCAGUCUGUCAGCAACUAUUUAUACAUAUAUAAAAAUAAGUUAGACGAAAAAAACGAACCCAUUUUGAAUGCAUUAAAUGAGGGUAAAACCGGUUUAAGUGAUAAUAAAAAAAAAAAUCUAACAUUCUGCAAUAGUAACAUAAAAAAAAAAAACAUAUAAUACAGUUACUAUGUUUUCAAAUUUUGUAUAAUUAACUCAAGUUAUAAAUAUUUAAUACUAAAAAAUUAUAUAAAAAAAACAAAUCAUACAAAAUUUGAAAACAUAGGAACUGUAUUAUAUCGUGAAAACAAUUUAGAGUUCAUCAUAAAAUUAAUAACAAAAAGUAUUUUUUUUCUGAAUGUAAAUAUAUUUAAGUUAGCUUUAAUAAAUUUUAACAAAAUGAGUGGAAAAAAAUUAUA
rnacentral:lncRNA from 1 species